rnacentral:misc_RNA from 1 species
GAUAAGAACGUAGUGAAAUGCGAUAAGUAAUGUGAAUUGCAGAAUUCAGUGAAUCAUCGAAUCUUUGAACGCACCUUGCGCUCCUUGGUAUUCCGAGGAGCAUGCCUGUUUGAGUGUCAUGAAAUUCUCAACCUUUUCAGCUUUCUUUGUUGAUCAGGCUUGGAUGUGGGAGUAUGCGGGCUUCUCAGAAGUCGGCUCUCCUGAAAUGCAUUAGCGGGACCUUUGUUGCCUGGCUUUGGUGUGAUAAUUAUCUACGCCAUUGUAGUCAAGCAGCUUAAAAUGAGGUUUCAGCUUCUAACCGUCUCCCCUGAGACAACUUUUUGACAAUUUGACCUCAAAUCAGGUAGGACUACCCGCUGAACUUAAGCAUAUCAAUAAGCGGAGGA